UCGAAUUCAAAUCACGUCCCGGCAAGGACGAUGAAUUCUACCUAUAUUAAUGUUUUAAUUUAAAGUACCCUGACGCCACAAUGACAGGGUCAGUAGAUUGAUAGUCUGUGCUGAUUGUCGUUGGUCUCGUGGGCAGCAUUCCUGGAAUUGCACUGAGUGCUUCCAAUGGCAGAAGUAAUACAGCAAGAUUGCUGUAGCAUAUGGUGCUGCCGGAAUAAGGAUUCGAAAUAUUUGCAGAACAACUAUUCUGGGAAUGUACAUACAUAAGAACAGCCAACGCUAGAUAUAGUGAAUAAAGUGUCUAGAGUAUUUUAGAUGAUACAAUGUCGGUGAAAUUGCAUUUAAUUUGAAUUCAUAUAAUCCUGUGUAGUGCUUUCUACUGUGUGCAACAACUGGUCACGUUUAGAAUGAAAUUUUUCUGAGAGCUGUAACCGAGAUUUGUCUGGAUUACGAUUUUCCAAUUCAACUCACAUCAACAGAUACCCUUUGACUUUCUCUAUACGGACUUUAAAAACAUAUUCGUAAGU